CAUAAAAUUGGAUGUUGCUUAGUUUGCUUUUAAGAAAGAUCAAGGAAUGCAGGGGUAAGACUGUCCAGCAUGGAUACCCAAGCUCCACAAUACCUGAACUGUAAGCACACAACUUCUCACCUGAGUUGUAGCUCCUCCACAGCAUCAUGGAUGUGAUAAUGCUCUGCAUUUCCCUUACGGGGCCUGAGUAGGAUGCUGCUGCACCUCAUUCUGAAGAUGUUUUUUACUUAUGACGUGAUAUUAAGAUGGACAUUGACCUGCUACACUGGUACAAUAUGAAGACUUGAUUGCAUACCCAAAGCACAUCCAAAAUCAUCUCAUCUAUUGUGACUCUUUAGGCUAAAUCACAGGCCAUCGUCUGCUUAAGUGGCCAGAACUCAGAUGUUUAUAAACAGAAGAACAUUGAAAACAACAAAACAUAUCCAACAAUUGCUAAUACAUAUGGAUACAGUUUGGAAAUCUUUUCAUAAUAUACAGAGCUCUGGAUUCUGUAUCUCUGCAUUCUAGACUGAAGCUUAUCAAGCAUAACUUUUAUUGAUCACCUUUAUGUUGACUGAAGUCCAUCAUAACAUUCUCUACUGAACGGCAGGCUAACGUGGCAGACACCUUGUGAGCCAAACACCUGCAGACUGGAGUUCCAGCUCUCCUGUUUACCAACUAUAGUCAACUGGCCAGUGAAUUUAACUUCAACUCACAGUUCUCUCAUCUGUAAAAUAGGCAUGAUAGGCUUGCAAGAGUGUUUAGAGGAUUGUUUUAUAUACAAAUGUUCUGCAAUAUAAA